GCAGGAGGAUUUUUUUGUGCACAGAUGGAUGACAUCCCAGUGAGGAUAACACAAUCAGGCUCACCUGGGAGUCCAAUGUGGUUCCACAGCGCCUUCUGGGAAUAGCCUCAGCCCACGAGAGAAUUCAUCCGCUUUUUAGGUUAUGACAAUAAGAGACAAAGACAGAACUGUUAAACUGUUGAAAAUGGGUGCUUGUGAUCUUUACUCCUUGACUUCCUUGUGAUUCCAUCUUACAUCCCCCUCCUCACCCUCCCAGAUGGCUCACACUCUGUGCAUUAGUAUAAGUCCUGGUUGACAUCUGCAUACCGACACAGGAGGAAUAGGAACCCAUUGUUAAUCUGCGGCUUAAAACAACCAUCGACUGCAGAGUAAUCUGUCUGUGUCCCAAGCUGCUGCCCUGAAUCGAUACAUCACUGGAGCUACUUUGGCAAAAAGUCUUCCUGGAAACAUCUGCAUUAGCUCAUCAAAUUCAUCACUUUGCAAUGUCAUAUUGCAGAUGUGUAACAUUUACGGUGCCAUGAAAAAGAUGUCAUUCACAUCUAUCAGUUGGGAAAGGUUUCAAAGACAUUUCUGAGGCUUUAGGACUCCAGAGCUAUUAUCUACAAAUGGAGAAAACUUCAAACUGUGGUAAACCUUCCCAGGAGGGGCCACUGUCACCAAAGAAGCGCUUCAAUAACUCUUCCAAAAAGUCUCGAAAGAACCCACAUUUGCCCAAAAACAUCUUUGUGAUCCCCAAGAUUUUUGGGAAAACAUUCUUUGCACUGACGAGACAAAGGUUUGCCUUUUUGGAAGGUUUGAGUUACUGUUACAUGUGGCAUAAAACUAACACAGCAUUUCUUAAAAAGAAAAUCGUACCAAGUCAAACAUGGUGGUGGUCAAGAGUUAGUCUGGGCCUGCUUUGCUGCUUCAGGACCUGGGCGAAAAAAGAAGAAUGUCUGGCCAUCAGUUCAUGUUCUAAAACUUGAGCGUGCUGUAUAUAAUCAGGUUAUAUCUGAAACAUGCAAGUGUGACAAAAAUGAAAUAAAUAAAGAAAUCAUGAAGAGGGCAAAUACUUUUUCACUGCACUGUAAACUGGGUGAACUUAUCUAGAUUUUUUUGCUAUUCUAAAAAAGGAAAUUCCAUUGUUUAUAUAUUUCAGCUAUAUAAAGGGGGCAAUUGUGGCUCAAGAGUUGGGAGUUCGCCUUGUAAUCGGAAGGUUGCCGGUUCGAGCCCCGGCUUGGACAGUCUCGGUUGUAGUGUCCUUGGGUAAGACACUUCACCCAUUGCCUACUGGUGGUGGUCAGAGGGCCUGGUGGCUCUAACAGGGACCGCAGAUUUAAAAGUAAACAUUGCCAUUUUAUGUAAGACGCAAAACUAGCAACUGAAACCGUGAAGUUAGGAAAGAGGCUCACAGAUUAAAGGAUCUGAAGGACUGUUUUACCCCUAAAAUUGUAUUCAGUCUUUUUUUUUUUUUUUUUUUGUAAGCACAGGAGUCGCCCUCUGUUGGCCAAAGACUGCAUGCUUUGAAGAACUUUGGCUUCAUUUUUGAGAUUUGGAAGUGAUGUCCAUGUUUUACAUGCUUUGUGAUUGUCCAAAUCAAGGACUUUAUAUCAGGGGCGGAGCGUGGGGGUGGCUUACUGGGCUUAAGCCCGGGGUCUUUUGGAGUGUAAUUUUUUCAUAGUUAGAUGCCUGGCUGACAACUGUAUAAAACAAAAAGUAAACAAAAUAUUCGAAGCACGUAGUGCACACUGUGGGAAUUUACGACUGUGCGUGAAUCCCCCCUGAUAUUGGUAUGAUCCGAGCUCAGGCACUAAGCGACUGAGCGAGGGGGCGGGGCAGCUGCUGCCUGUGAGUGCGCUGUUGGAGAAACGGAGCCAGCCAUACUAAGGAGAGCUUAAGUUUGACCAGGUACCAAAGCAAAUCAUUCGUACCGUACAAAUAAUGUAAAUAUGACGGUGCAUCACGAAAGAUUGAUAUCAAACUGAUCACUUGACCAAUAUUACGUUACUUGCUCUUCAAGUGAAUCAACAAAUGGCGAAAUGAAAAGCGAACAAAUGCUAUUUUUUUAGAGAGUCUUAGCUUACCUGUGUUUAUUUCAUAUUUUCAGUUCUUACCCUCCCCGACUAAAUCAGUUUCAGUUAUGUACUGAAAUAUAAGAAUGGACAUUAGAGGCUUCUUUCAAAGAAAAAACUC
ensembl:lncRNA